GGAGAGAUCGAGUCCAUCAGAAUCUUGGCGGAGAAAGCGUGUGCCUUUGUCACGUACACGACCAGAGAAGGAGCGGAGAAAGCUGCUGAAGAGCUCAGCAACAAGCUAGUUGUCAACGGUCAGAGGCUUAAAAUCUCUUGGGGAAGACCUCAAGCUCCCAGAACUGAUCCAGAUGGCGGCGGCUCGCAGCAGCAAGGCGGUGUGGCUCAUACUGGAUUGCUGCCUCGUGCUGUGUUAUCUCAGCAGCAUAAUCAACCUCCACCGAUGCAGCAGUACUAUAUGCACCCGCCACCACCACAACAACCUCAUCAGGACAGACCCUUUUACCCGUCGAUGGACCCUCAGAGAAUGGGUGCAGUCACUUCGUCUCAAGACAGUGGUGAUAACAGAAUGCCUCCACAUGGGCAUUAUCAGCAGCACCAGCCGUACCCGACCUUCGGGCUGAACCUUACUUAUAAAAAGAUCUGGUCUAAGGGUCGGUUGUGACCGGUUUAACUUUGGUUAAGACUCAAUUUAAUUUGUCCGUGGGAGAGACCCGAGUAGAUAUUUUAAACGAUAUUAAUAUUCCCAAAAUACGAAAGCAAAUCAGGUUCUUUGCCCUACGAAGUUCGAAAAAGCUAGAGGAGGAGGAAGAAGAUGGCGCAUAGAAUACUCAGAGAUCACGACGCCGAUGGCUGGGAACGCGCUGACUUCCCCAUCAUCUGCGAGUCUUGUCUCGGCGACAAUCCUUAUGUCCGAAUGGUAAUUCAUCUUUUUAUCUCCUCCAACAAAUUCGAUUUAAUUAUUCGGAAUUUCGAUUGAUUACUUUGUGUCUGAUACUUUAUAUGCUUCAUGUUUUGUGGUUGUUGUUAUUGUUAUUGUUCAGACAAAAUCUGAUUACGACAAAGAGUGCAAGAUCUGCACCCGACCGUUCACCGUAUUCAGGUGGCGCCCCGGCCGCGACGCUAGGUACAAGAAAACCGAAGUCUGUCAGACAUGCUGCAAGCUCAAGAACGUGUGCCAAGUCUGUCUCCUGGAUCUCGAGUAUGGUCUUCCCGUUCAGGCCAGAGACACGGCCCUCAACAUCAGCACUCAUGAUUCCAUCCCCAAAAGCGAUGUCAACAGAGAGUUCUUCGCCGAAGAGCAUGAUCGAAAGGUAUCAUCACUCUCUCUGUCUUCAAGGCUCUCACAUUUUUUGUAACAGCUUGUUGAUAACAUGAGUUUGUUUUUUUUUUAAUUAUGUAGACGAGAGCUGGAUUAGAUUAUGAGUCUUCUUUUGGAAAGAUUCGUCCUAAUGAUACCAUUCGUAUGCUUCAAAGAACGACGCCGUAUUACAAGAGGAACCGAGCGCAUAUUUGUAGUUUCUUUAUUAGGGGAGAGUGUACUAGAGGUGAAGAAUGUCCUUACCGCCACGAGAUGCCUGAGACAGGAGAGUUAUCCCAGCAGAACAUUAAAGACCGUUACUAUGGGUAUAACCAAACUACUUUCUUUUCAUUUUCUUCUAUUAAGUUUUAAAGCAAUGUUCUAAAAAUCGCGGUGGUUAGGCUUCUUAUAGUGUUUAGGCAGGUAGGCGGGUGCCUAGGCCGAUUUUUAAAACACUGGUUUAAAGUAUAUAAGUUUUCUAAAUUGCAUUUAAUAUUUGCAGUGUGAACGAUCCAGUGGCGUUGAAGUUACUUGGGAAGGCAGGUGAGAUGGGCACAUUGGAAACUCCAGACGAUCAAAGCAUCAAGACGCUUUACGUCGGCGGGCUAAACUCUCGAGUCCUUGAGCAAGACAUAAGAGAUCAGUUCUACGCAUACGGAGAGAUCGAGUCCAUCAGAAUCUUGGCGGAGAAAGCGUGUGCCUUUGUCACGUACACGACCAGAGAAGGAGCGGAGAAAGCUGCUGAAGAGCUCAGCAACAAGCUAGUUGUCAACGGUCAGAGGCUUAAAAUCUCUUGGGGAAGACCUCAAGCUCCCAGAACUGAUCCAGAUGGCGGCGGCUCGCAGCAGCAAGGCGGUGUGGCUCAUACUGGAUUGCUGCCUCGUGCUGUGUUAUCUCAGCAGCAUAAUCAACCUCCACCGAUGCAGCAGUACUAUAUGCACCCGCCACCACCACAACAACCUCAUCAGGACAGACCCUUUUACCCGUCGAUGGACCCUCAGAGAAUGGGUGCAGUCACUUCGUCUCAAGACAGUGGUGAUAACAGAAUGCCUCCACAUGGGCAUUAUCAGCAGCACCAGCCGUACCCGCCACAGCCAUAUGGAGGGUAU
rnacentral:lncRNA from 1 species